rnacentral:rRNA from 1 species
CCUACGGGUGGCAGCAGUGAGGAAGAGGGGGCAAGGGACGAGAGUCUGAACCAGCCAAGGAGCGUGAAGGAGGACUGCCCGAUGGGUUGUAAACUUCUUUUAUAAAGGAAUAAAACGAGGCACGUGUGCCUUUUUGCAUGUACUGUAUGAAUAAGGAUCGGCUACCUCCUCGCCAUCAGCCGCGGUAAUACGGAGGAUCCGAGCGUUAUCCGGAUUUCUUGGGUUUAAAGGGAGCGUAGAUGGGUUGUUAAGUCAGUUGUGAAAGUUUGCGGCUCAACCGUAAAAUUGCAAUUGAUACUGGCAGUCUUGAGUACAGUUGAGGUAGGCGGAAUUCGUGGUGUAGCGGUGAAAUGCUUAGAUAUCACGAAGAACCCCGAUUGCGAAGGCAGCUUACUAAACUGUGACUGACAUUGAUGCUCGAAAGUGUGGGUAUCAAACAGGAUUAGAUACCCCGGUAGUC